rnacentral:rRNA from 1 species
CGUAGGGGCGAGCGUUGUCCGGAAUUAUUGGGCGUAAAGGGUUCGUAGGCGGUAAUACAUGUCAGAUGUGAAAUCUUGUGGCUUAACCACAUCAAGCAUCUGAAACUGUAUAACUUGAGUGGAGGAGAGGUAAGUGGAAUUCCUAGUGUAGCGGUGAAAUGCGUAGAUAUUAGGAAGAAUACCAGUAGCGAAGGCGACUUACUGGCCUCUAACUGACGCUGAUGAACGAAAGCGUGGGUAGCAAACAGGAUUAGAUACCCUGGUA